GAAGGGUCAUAGCUCAGUGACAGAGCAUCUACUUUAUAUGCAGAAAGCUCAAGGUUCAAUUCCUGGCGUCUUCA